GACGAACGCUGGCGGCGUGCUUAACACAUGCAAGUCGAACGGACCUUCGGGUUAGUGGCGAACGGGUGAGUAACACGUGGGUGAUCUGCCCUGCACUUUGGGAUAAGCCUGGGAAACUGGGUCUAAUACCGAAUAGGACCACGCGCUUCAUGGUGUGUGGUGGAAAGCUUUUGCGGUGUGGGAUGGGCCCGCGGCCUAUCAGCUUGUUGGUGGGGUAAUGGCCUACCAAGGCGACGACGGGUAGCCGGCCUGAGAGGGUGACCGGCCACACUGGGACUGAGAUACGGCCCAGACUCCUACGGGAGGCAGCAGUGGGGAAUAUUGCACAAUGGGCGCAAGCCUGAUGCAGCGACGCCGCGUGAGGGAUGACGGCCUUCGGGUUGUAAACCUCUUUCGCCAGGGACGAAGCGCAAGUGACGGUACCUGGAGAAGAAGGACCGGCCAACUACGUGCCAGCCGCCGCCGUAAAAC
rnacentral:rRNA from 1 species